ensembl:lncRNA LINC02207 long intergenic non-protein coding RNA 2207
AGAGACAAGGAGUAAAAUGCCUGAGCUCAAGUGACAACAAGCAACCCCAGACUAGAGACAGGAUCCUUCUCCCCACUUCGAGCAGAUCCCAGCAUGAAUCCUGCAGUAUGGUGAUGGCAAAAGUCAGUGCAGGACCACUGGGACUCCUGGAGCUUCUCACAUCUCUGAGAGCACCAGCAGCAGAAAACAUCGCCCAUUUCAUCUGUUUCUUCAGUCCCCAGAUAGCAGAUGACUGGUAGGAAGAUGAGGCAAGUUUGCGGUCCAUUGUCAUGGAUAGUGGAGACAACACUGGGCCAGAAGUGGUAAGACCUGAAUCCAAGACUCAGCUCUGCCACUUGCUAAAUGGGACUUUGAAUAAACCAUUUCUCUGCACUUAAGUUCCUUACCAACAAAACGAGGGAAGUGGCCUACAUGCCUAGAUAUCAACAUUUCAUGUCACGUAGAGAUCUAGCAUCACAAGAAUCCAAGUCAUCCUCUGUUGCCUUUAAGAUUUCAGCAUGGUGAAGGAAAAGUAGCAGAAGACUGAAUGCAUACUCAGUUUUCAAGCUCUGGAUUUAAUCUUUCCAUAGCUGGAAUUGCCUCCUCCUCAAAAGCCUUAUUUGUUCAUUUAAUUGGGGCAACAUGAAAUAAUGAUGUAUCAUUGACAGAGAACAGGGGGCUUAGGUUCUCAUCUUGGUCCUAGUGAUUACUCUAUGCAUAACCUCAACUUCUUUAUCUGUACAUUGGGAACAAUAAUUCUUACUCCACUUGUUGUGUUGAAACUGAAUUAUAUAAUUCAUAAAUUAAAACACCAAAUUCUGAUAAAUGCUAAAUGCCAUUUUCUUAUCUUGUUCUUUCCUAUAAUGCCCAUUUUGAUAUAAACCAGGCUCCCUAGUCAGUCUUGCAGAAGGUAUUCUCAAGAAGAACUUAUAUCUUUGGUUUAUCAACAAAUUUGCAAAGCUGUGUUGAUAAUCUAGAGCUGAGUCUUUUAACAAGUUUUAACAAUAUCUCAAUUACUAUGAUGUAGGUCUCUUAAUAAAAUGUAAAUGUAAAUGUGACAGAAGUCAACAUUAGGACUUUUAGGAAGGGAUAUAGACACUCAACAUUCCUCUUUGUUCAGGAGGGUGACAUAGCACAGCUUGCCACCUGUGAGCUAACCUUAUCUAGAACACAGCAUAGGAACUACUGCUUGACUAGAAAACUAAUUUAUAAAGCUUAAGGAACUUAAGGGACUUUCAGGGACUAAUUUACCAUCAUAAAAUAUCUAUCUCUACGAAGAAAGAAGAGAGUUUUAAGUACUUGAAAAUAAAAAUCUUAUAUUU